GGCCCCGUAGCUCAGCUGGAUAGAGCACCAGAUUCCUAAUCUGGGGGUCACAGGUUCGAAUCCUGUCGGGGUCACCA
rnacentral:tRNA from 2 species